AACUUAUUUUGCUUUAGUGAUUGUAAUUGAAAAUCAAUUCUAUUAAUUCUCCUUUCACACAUUAUGUAAUAAGUUUCUUUCAUUGAAAAUUCAAAAUUCCAGUUCAAUACCGUAACAUUGCUGGAUGCUUGAUGAUAGACAUUAUAAUUUGAAGACGUUUUCAUAAUUUAGUGGUCUUUAGUACUGGCAUAUGGAUACAUAUACAUGUAUACAGUAAAUUUUUUAUAAGACAGCUAAGACCGAUUAACAGUGUAAUUUAUAAAUUAAUUAAAAAAAAUGAACAAUAAUUUUAUUAUAUACUAGGUUAUUUUUUUUAUUAUGUGACAUCAUAACUGAUGUUCCGAUUACUUUACAGCAGCCGUGAUUAUCGGCAGAGGAGUAAGGAGGAAGUAAGUAUUUCAGUUGGUCUUGUUUUUUGUCAAAUGUCAAAUAAUAUAUUAAAUAGUGUCGUAUAUCCGGAAAACUUAUACAAAGGCCUUUACUAACUGGCCAUUUCAAGUCGGUCAGGUUGUCUAUCGACUUAGGUGAGUACGACAAAUGCGAAUGUCUUAAUUAAAUAUAACAUAUACUCGUUAAAUUUAAGACAUAAUAAAUAGACAAAUCAUUAAAAGCGUAAAAUAUUUGCUAUAUAUUUUUAUAUAUACGAAGCAACUGCCAAGUCGUAUCUCUUAAGUUGUAAAAAAUACGGAUUAUAUUGAAAAACACGAUCGUUAAAAUUUUUAUUGAUUCAUCUUAACAUACUGCAUUUAUUUCUCUUAUCUUAGCGCAGUACAACCUGUUCAUGGAGUAAGGAGUUAAAUUAUUUAUCUUUUUACGAGACGUUUUUUCAUAGUGGCCGGCUCGUCAAACUGCCGCUCGUCAUGUAAGCGAUAUACUUUUGUGGGCUACAAAGACUGUUUGUAAAGGGAGAUGUUGGCUUAAAGCCUAUCGCAAGUAUAAGAUACGAGUACUUCACCGAGUAAUGAAUGCUUACAGCGAAUCUACACAGAAUGUUGAUCACAAGCUCGCAAUACUAUUGAAAGUAUCUUUAGUGACUCGUAUUAUUACCCUUGUACUCGUAUACUUGCACUUAUAAAAAAGUUAUAAUGUUUCUUUAACGUAACAGUUAAACGAUAAAACUGCUUUUGUUACUACAACAUCAGUGAUAAUAAUCUCCUUUAAAUUCACCUAUAAAUAUUAGUAGUCGUAGUGAAUGUUACUUGUUACUAUCAAAGAUAAAUUACUUAAGCCAAGCAAUUUGAACAUUUCCUACUCAAAACUACUGACUUCGCUUUUGGUAAGCUAAGAGUUGUUGGAAAAACUAAUUUAUUAACCUCUUAGUAAGUUUGAAAUAGACUAAUUUUAAAAUAUAAAAUUUUUCAGUGGUAAUAAUAACUUUUUUUUUAGCAUGCAUUGCUACUCGAUUGAAUUUCAAUCGUGACACUAUCACUCAUAACUUAUAUUAUAAUCAAACUUUACUUUUUAAUUUUAGAUAAGCCGUAUCCGGAAGAUCGGUGAUCUAUUUUACUCUAAAUCCUGCUAAGAAGAAACUUGUUCCAUUGCCAGAAUUUAAAAUAGACAUAAUAGUAGUCAUAUUCACAAGCUUCUUGUCUGAUGUAAAAUAAAUCGUAUAGAAAUGAAAGAAGCGUUUUGAUCAAAAAUGUUUUUGGUGAGAUCGUGAAAAAGUUUUUAAUGAGACGAAUAGUUUACUAGGAUUUUUAGUUAUAAAUUUUAUGUCUGGAUGGAAAAUGGUCUUUUAAAAUUUUACUUGGAUUGAUUGAUUUUAAUUGGUUUGGAGACCACUGGACUAAUUGCGAAAUAAUAUUGGGAAUAUUUUCAGAACCAAAAACCGAAAUUAUUAGAAGAGGGAGUUAAGUAAUUCCUCUUAUUAUUUAAAAUAUAUUUAUUAGAAUACCAGAAAACUAUUGAAAAAAGAAAAUAUUUUUAUAGAGAUUUUUUUUGUCGAUUUUCUCAUGCAAGGAAAUAACUUAAACCGUUGAAAAUAUAUUGAGCAGAAACGAAAUAAUUAACAAGUAGACAUUUUAUUUAAAAAGUGAUUUAAUAUAACAGUAUGGGCGAGAUGAGGAUUUAUUUUUACAAAGGACGUAAUUAUGGUAGAGGUGUUCAAAGCAGGAAGUAAAAUAGGUUUGAAUGUGACAUCAUGAUUGACGUUCCUCUUGAAGUUGUGCGAGAAUAUAUAUCUUUUUAACAAAUGCCUCGGUUGGGCACUGGAUGGUGAUAGGCUGAUUAUAUUGACUAGUUGUGCAUUUUUUAUCAGGGCUCAAUUACAACAAGAAAAACAUGUGCGUGAAGGCAAUAACCUGCUUUCUAUCGUUUGUCGAUAAAAUUAAUAUAUCAAUUUGAUAUUUUUUAUAGUUUCUUCAUGGGCGUCAAUUUGUUAAUGGAUGAUGAAUAUUCAAUGAAUAAAAAUGAUAUUAGUAUAUUAUCCAUUUUUAAUAAUGUUUGUCUGUAAAAAAAUACUUUUACGUUUGCAUGAAGGAUAAAUUUGAUGGCAUGGACACUACAGGAUUGAUGUUUUAAAUUUAGUCCGUAAUAACAAGCGUCAGAAAGCGCGUGUAGAAUACAUAGCAAAGAUACGUAUAUAAAACAAAAUAUAAAAAAUAACUAGUGAUAAAACAUAAUGAAUAAAAGAAAUAAAAUCGAAACGUUUUAUAAAACCAACGAGGUUUUGUUUGAUAAUAUUUUAGAUAAAUAUAUUCAAGAAGUUCUUCUGCCUUUGAAUCUAUUGCAAUAUUUAUUUUUAUCGCCAAAGUUUAAGAUUUACAGAAAUUUUAUUACUUUUAAUAAUUAUUACGUAUAUUUUCUGUCAUUUGCACUUUUGUUUGCCAUUACUAUUUUACUUUUAAUACGACUGAUUACAUCAAACGAGAAGUUAGUAUGGUUCUAUUAUUCGAGGGCUUUUGAUUUUUUCUUUUUACCGACUGCGUGCUGUAUUUGCUUUUGUUCAAAUUUGCUUAAUACCAAACGAAAUGUAAACAUAAUAUUGAACAUACAAAGAGUGUUUAAUGAGCUUCACCAAAAACGCCACGAGAGUAAAAUUACGAAAAUCUUAGUUUGGGUCCAAGUCGCUGCAUGUAUAACGUUUUAUGCUCGUUGUGCUGUCGUUGUAAUCGAGACGAACAUAAAUGAUACGGUAACACUAUUGAUAAUAUUUUAUUUUGACGUACAAGUUCUUUAUGCGACACAGAUUAUUUCCUUUAUUUCAAGUCAAGUAAAUAUGUGGUUGUCAGAAUUCUAUUCUAUUUAUGAAAUGGAAGUGAACGUUGUUGGUAAAAGCAUUGAUAUAGUUGGAAAUAAAUGGGGGAAAUUAUUUUCUACGUACAGAAGGAUUCUAAGUACAUUUCAACAAACUAAAGAUUCUUUUGACGUAUUUGUGAGUAUUUUUUAAACAUUAUAAGUUAUUGGAAACUUGCAGGUUUUUAUGGUCAUAUAGAACACAGAAAAUCUAACAUUAAGUAUUCAACUUUGAGUAGAUAUAUAUAUUGUUAAAUAUUUUUAAAUAUAUUAAUUAACAUCCACGAGUGUUUGUGAAUUAAAAAAAAACUGUUUUGGACCGAUCUCUAUUGUCAGGAUAAAUACAAGUCUUUACAAUCCCAGGCUAUGACGUUUUAUGGCUAUCGGAAAGCGCCACCAGGUGGGUCCCGAAUAAUGGUAGGAGGGUUGACAAUUGGCACAACUUCAGUUUGUGCGCUGAAGCGUGUCGCGGGAGCCAAACUCCACUGCCGCGCCAGAUCAGGGCUCGUCGGAAUUAGUUCUAGCGCGAUCUUAUCGUGUAGUGGAAGGAACUACUGUCACAGUCGUAGUCUGGGUUCGCUACUAUAGCCACGGUACAAACCCUCUUUGAGGAGUGGCUGGAGAGACGCCAAGCCUCACCUUCCAUUUGAAGCAGAUGCUUACCGGAAACGGAUAUUUCGGGGGGUAUCUGUUUCAGAUUGUGGGAGUGGGAGUGGGAGGAAACGCUCAGGUGUCGUCAUUGCGACACCAUCUGGAAGACACGGUGAACUAUAACGGACCCGGUGUGCCCUGCUUGUGCUGAGCACCGCCAUUUUCUCUUAAAGAAAAAAAAGGGAUAAAGCUGUUACAAAUUUGUUCCAGAUAUUUUUCUACGGAUUGAAAAGCACAAUUUAUAAUCUCCUUUAUAUACAGGCGUGGAUUUUUUGGCAAAAGCAGAGCCAAGAAACAGUAAUAUUCAUUUCAUUAUAAAGCUUAAUUUGUUAUUUCAUCACGUUUUUCUAAACCUUUUAUUUUCAGAUUUAAAUAAAAUAAAUAUAUAAUUUUCCAGAUUAUAGCACCAUGGAUUAUAAUACCAAUGUUAGUCAUAAAAGAUUUUGCUCUUUGUCUCUUAAUUGGCUUCAGAUGUCAGCAGCUGUAUUUAGGUAUAAAUGAAUGUCGGCGUGUUUGUCUGAAUAAACUAAAGAAUAAAAAAUGUUCAGGGUCUGCGAAAUGUGUCUUCAAGAAUGUAGUACGUUUGACAGAAGUGGAAUUCACUAAAAUGAUGCCUUAUCACCUCUGUGAUAUUGAUAUAAAACUACCUUUGACUUUUUUUAAUAUAUUAGCCACUUACGCUAUAGUGUUGUUGCAGUUUGCUUUUCUAUAAUUAAACUGAUCAACUAA